CGUACACUCCUACGGGAGUCAGCAGUGGGGAAUUUUGGACAAUGGGCGAAAGCCUGAUCCAGCCAUGCCGCGUGCAGGAUGAAGGCCUUCGGGUUGUAAACUGCUUUUGUACGGAACGAAACGGCCUUUUCUAAUAAAGAGGGCUAAUGACGGUACCGUAAGAAUAAGCACCGGCUAACUACGUGCCAGCAGCCGCGGUAAUACGUAGGGUGCAAGCGUUAAUCGGAAUUACUGGGCGUAAAGCGUGCGCAGGCGGUUAUGUAAGACAGUUGUGAAAUCCCCGGGCUCAACCUGGGAACUGCAUCUGUGACUGCAUAGCUAGAGUACGGUAGAGGGGGAUGGAAUUCCGCGUGUAGCAGUGAAAUGCGUAGAUAUGCGGAGGAACACCGAUGGCGAAGGCAAUCCCCUGGACCUGUACUGACGCUCAUGCACGAAAGCGUGGGGAGCAAACAGGAUUAGAAACCCUGGUAGUCCCAUGAU
rnacentral:rRNA from 1 species